rnacentral:misc_RNA from 1 species
UUGAAUCCAUUCAAACUGAUGUCUAACUCCUCUAAUUUUUUAAAACCUUCAAGUGAGAGGGAACCGUUGAAUUCAUUGUCACUUAUAUCCAGUAUUUCCAAAUUUUUCAGAUUAUUUAAUUCUUGGAUAGGUAAGCAACCUUCCAUGCUAUUCCCUCCAAUUUUCAAAGUCCUAAGUGAUGUAAGAGUACCCAAUGUUAAUAAAAUGAUGAUAUAAUUUCAUAGUUAUUAGAAUUCAUUUACCCUUACUGUCUAAAAUAUCCAAUAUAGUAAAACAACAAUUUUUAUUUUAAAAUUUUUUGACUGUUAAAAUAGAAGUUUAAGACAACAAUAUAUUCGAGAAAUUGUUUAACUAUCAAACUAAAAACUCAUUUUGUCCACUCUAAAAUUGAAAUAG